AAUAAAAUAAAUGUUAUGGACAAUUGCCUUAAUUGGUUGAUUAGGCAUUCAACUAUUUCUUUCUUCGGAUUAACUAUGGAAGGUAACAACUAGAUAUCGAUCCUUUAAUCUGGAUGACAGCAACUUAACUCUUAGAGAGUGAAUAUUUCCAGAAAUUUUUCCCUAUUGAAAGGGAGUAAAAUUUUGUUUGCACUCUAUAAAAGGAGAUACUAUAUUUAUGAAAUUCAAAAAGAUUUUUCAUUUAUAUUUCGUGCAAAGUUCUAUGGAAAAAAAGAGAAAUAAAUCACUGCAUAUUUGAAGAAUAGGUGAAUUUAUUUGAUUUAAACUAAUGAGAAAAAUAAGGUAAACACGUGUUUCAGAUAACAGUUUGUAUUUAUAUCAUGUUGAAAGAAAUAAACGAGUAAUAUCGAUUAUCUAGUAUUGCCAAACUAAUUGACAGCAAUGAAAUGAAUGAUGUAAAUAGUUCAUGGAAGUGAAAAGGUACUGAAAACCAAUCCAGACUCAUGCAAUGUUACAGAAUGAACCUACUGUGGACACACCUGCAAAGGUAGUGGUCAAACAAGCACGUGGAGGAACUAUCAGAGAGUUAUCGAGAAAUUUAAGACCACUAGGUGGGUACACAUAGGAUGGAUUAGCUCGAUCCGACAGUUCAUUACUUGUAAUAAGGUCCUUUGAUGCGAAUUCGGAGAGCCUCAUUAAAAAAAACUCAAUUUAUGGUUCCUUGUAUUUCACCAAGCUGGUUUCAAGAAUCAGCUGCGAGAUAGCUAAUUAACCAUUAGUGUAAUUUGUGUGUUUAACGUAGGUACAUCAAAUAGAGAUGUAACAAUAACAAAUUAUGAAAAAUUGGAGUUAUUAUAUCAACCUCAAUUAGAGUGUGACAACUAUAAUUGUUAAUAACGAAUACCAUAAGCGUAAAGCAUUAAAAGCUAUGUACCUAA